rnacentral:tRNA from 1 species
UGGAAUAUAGCCAAGCGGUAAGGCAUCGGUUUUUGAUAUCGACAUUCAAAGGUUCGAAUCCUUUUAUUCCAG